AGAGUCUCCAGUUGGUGACCAAGAGUACAUCUCUUUUCAAAUAGCUGGAUUAGGUCCUCAUGCUGCUGUGGUCAUUGCUGGUCAUCUUUGAUGCAGUCACUGAACAGGCAGAUUCGCUGACCCUUGUGGCGCCCUCUUCUGUCUUCGAAGGAGACAGCAUCGUUCUGAAAUGCCAGGGAGAACAGAACUGGAAAAUUCAGAAGAUGGCUUACCACAAGGAUAACAAAGAGUUAUCUGUUUUCAAAAAAUUCUCAGAUUUCCUUAUCCAAAGUGCAGUUUUAAGUGACAGUGGUAACUAUUUCUGUAGUACCAAAGGACAACUCCUUUUCUGGGAUAAAACUUCAAAUAUAGUAAAGAUAAAAGUCCAAGAGCUCUUUCAACAUCCUGUGCUGACUGCCAGCUCCUUCCAGCCCAUCGAAGGGGGUCCAGUGAGCCUGAAAUGUGAGACCCGGCGCUCUCCACAGAGGUUGGAUGUUCAACUCCAGUUCUGCUUCUUCAGAGAAAACCAGGUCCUGGGGUCAGGCUGGAGCAGCUCUCCGGAGCUCCAGAUUUCUGCCGUGUGGAGUGAAGACACAGGGUCUUACUGGUGCGAGGCAGAAACGGUGACUCACAGGAUCAGAAAACAGAGCCUCCAAUCCCAGAUUCACGUGCAGAGCAAGUAUCAGUGAGGCUGAGCCUGGAGAAAAAAAGAUAGGAGUGUUAUAGCUUCAGCUUGGACUACUAGUCUGUUUCUUUGUUCAACUCCUGUCCUUGAGGAAAGUGAAAAUUAAGCUAGAAAAACCCUCCAGGUUGCGGCCGGGCGCGGUGGCUCACGCCUGUAAUCCCAGCACUUUGGGAGGCUGAGACGGGCAGAUCAUGAGGUCAGGAGAGAGACCAUCCUGGCUAACACGGUGAAACCCCGUCUCUACUAAAAAUACAAAAAAUUAGCCGGGCUUGGUGGGGGGCGCCUGUAGUCCCAGCUACUAGGGAGGCUGAGGCAGGAGAAAGGCGUGAACCUGGGAGGUGGAGCUUGCAGUGAGCCGAGAUCACGCCACUGCACUCCAGCCUGGGCGACAGGGCGAGACUCCGUCUCAAAAAAACAAAACAAAACAAAACGAAAAACCCUCCAGAUUGCUCCUGGCUUCCUACUUCGUAAGAAUCAGAAAUGCACUAAGCCCCUUAUAAUCUUUC
rnacentral:sRNA from 1 species